rnacentral:rRNA from 1 species
UACGGAGGGUGCAAGCAUUAAUCGGAAUUAUUGGGCGUAAAGGGCGCGUAGGCGGAUUCGUAAGUCAGAUGUGAAAUUCCGGAGCUCAAUUCCGGAGCUGCAUUUGAAACUGCGAGACUAGAGGAAUGGCGGAGAAAACGGAAUUCCACAUGUAGCGGUGAAAUGCGUAGAUAUGUGGAGGAACACCGGUGGCGAAAGCGGUUUUCUAGCUAUUAACUGACGCUGAGGCGCGAGAGCAAGGGGAUCAAACAGG